GACGAACGCUGGCGGCGUGCCUAACACAUGCAAGUCGAACGGUGAAGCGAGUGCUUGCACUCGUGGAUCAGUGGCGAACGGGUGAGUAACACGUGAGUAACCUGCCCAUCACUCUGGGAUAAGCACUGGAAACGGUGUCUAAUACUGGAUACGACCAACCCUUGCAUGGGGUGUUGGUGGAAAGAUUUAUCGGUGAUGGAUGGACUCGCGGCCUAUCAGCUUGUUGGCGGGGUAAUGGCCCACCAAGGCGACGACGGGUAGCCGGCCUGAGAGGGUGACCGGCCACACUGGGACUGAGAAACGGCCCAGACUCCUACGGGAGGCAGCAGUGGGGAAUAUUGCACAAUGGGCGAAAGCCUGAUGCAGCGACGCCGCGUGAGGGAUGACGGCCUUCGGGUUGUAAACCUCUUUCAGCAGGGAAGAAGCGAAAGUGACGGUACCUGCAGAAGAAGCACCGGCUAACUACGUG
rnacentral:rRNA from 1 species